rnacentral:rRNA from 1 species
GAUGAACGCUGGCGGCGUGCCUAAUACAUGCAAGUCGAGCGAACAGACGAGGAGCUUGCUCCUUUGACGUUAGCGGCGGACGUGUGAGUAACACGUGGAUAACCUACUUAUAAGACUGGGAUAACUUCGGGACACCGGCGCUUAUACCGGAGAAUAUAUUGAACCGCAUGGUUCAAUAGUGAAAGACGGUUUUGCUGUCACUUAUAGAUGGUUCCCCGCUGCAUUAGCUAGUUGUUAAGGACACGGCUUACCAAGGCAACGAGGCGUAGCCGACCGGAGAGAGGGGUCGGCCGCCCUGGAACUGAGACACGGUCCAGACUCCUACGGGAGGCAGCAGUAGGGAAUCUUCCGCAGUAGGCGAAAGCUUGACGGAGCGACGCCACGUGAGUGAUGAAGGUCUUCGGAUCGUAAAACUCUGUUAUUAGGGAAGAACAAAUGUGUAAGGAGCUAUGCACGUCUUGACGGUACCUAAUCAGAAAGCCACGGCUAACUACGUG